AGUGCCAUAGUCACAGGCUUCCUUGAAUCUUUGAAACAAGCAUGUUGCCCAGACCACCCUCUCCUCCACGAGCAAUGACAAUUUGUUGACCUUCUUCUGUUAACUCAGCAACAUUAUUUCUUAACAUCUGUUUCUUCAUCUUGUGAUGAGGAGCAGCCAGUAGAAUGCAUUGCUUUGACUUCCCCACUAGUAACACCGGAGGUAGAACCAUUGCCAGGGUUAGGAAAAUCAUCAACAAGUGCUCCGGGAAUAUCCCAAGGGUCUACAUCUGUUGCGAAUUGAGUUUUGACAACAGAAGGAAUAUCACCAUUAACGAGAUGUACUACAGUGCCAAUCGGUACACGGGCAACCUAGCAUAUGAUUUUGGAAUGAACUUGCAGUUCUGUAUUGCAAACAUGGCCAAAUAAGAGAGAAGAAAACUAUGAAUUGUUUUAAAAGAAAAAGCACAGGUAAACAUCAAUUACCUUAUCAGCA